UUGAGCUAUUUAUAUUAUAUCUCAGACGACAGGUUGAUUUAAAGUUUUUAAGGUUUGGCUUUUGACAGGUACUCACAGGAUUUAGCGGCCGAAGCCACCAAACUUUGCGGGGACCAAAGGAUCCACGACCUGCCAAAGCAACAAAGGUUUAUAAGCACGGGUUGGGAGGUUCGGGCCACAAGGACCCUAUACUCUUUAAUGAUCCCUCCGCAGGUUCACCUACGGAGA
rnacentral:misc_RNA from 1 species